UUUAGUGCAGAUACAAUUGAAUUCCUGAUGAUUCUUUCUGUAUGCAGCUUUGAGCAUAACCCUAGGCUAGAAGGCCCCGAGUUGCUGGGACUUGCAAGUUACGACACAACUUGUUCGUAAAAAAGGACGAUCAAACCCUAGUGAUGAAAUCGUCAAGACCGGAGUGGAACAAGCUAGCCUACAUCUAAAACCUUCAUUAUCUAAGUGGACCAGGGAGUGUUAAAUGCAGUCCCCCUCAUAUUUGUACAUCUUUUUAUCUCUGCUGCUUAAUGCCCUUUUAACCGUAGUAACUGCAUUGCUAUGCUCCCCCUAUAUAUAUGAGAUUCGUGUCGAGUUUGUGUGUGUGGUUACAUUUGAUGUAAUGUAAUAUCUGGUGCAAAUUUAUCAUACCUGUUGCUAUUAGUUUCCUGCUAUGUCACACUUGUUUGAAACGUAUAAUGUUCAUCAAACCUGCAGUUAUAUGGACCUUCGUUAUUAGUGGAAAUUUUGCCGGGGAGAUGCACAAAUGUACAGUGAUUGACCUGUAUAAGCUUAAAAAUACUUGACAGUAUAUGAAAAUUAUAUUAUUUUUGUACAUUACAUAUUAUACAGUGCCCUGAUCCAAAAAUACAAAUUAGUAUGUGGGCAUGCUCUAUACUCGGUUUCAUCAAAACCUGCAAAUGACAAAUCUGAAUCACAGGUAGCAGAUCUCUGAGCAUCUUUAAUUAAUGCUUGAUUCUUCCAAUCUUUCACUUUUGUGACUUUAGUAAGUAGUGAUGCAUACCAGAAAAAUAACAAGGUAGGAAGAAAAUGGUUCGAUGUUUUGGAUUAGUGAAUCGGCCAUGAUAAUUAAAUGAUAUGUUUAAGCUUGGUUUGGCAGGUAGAAUGCUAGAUGCACUUAUAUUACCGUAAUAAAAUGAAAUUAUUUAGUCAUCAACUAAUUUUUUUGCCUGACCAGAAAAAUGUUUGAAAUUUCAUCUAACGUUUCAUUUACCAAAUCAAUCCUAUUUUAAUUUAUAAAAUCUAAAGCUCAAUUCUUUUCUUCACAAAAAAUCACACCAAUUUCUAUAACAAAUUCACCAAGCCGAGAUUCGAGCUACUGUUCCUACAACCACUUAGAUAAAUCUCAUCUCUAGAAGGUAGGAAUUAAUUGAUGAAGAAAGAAUAAAGAGUGACCAAAAAAUUGUAAACUUAUUAACUAUUUUCAUACUUAACAAAGCAAUUCUCAAUUAUACAUAAUAUUUAUCGACUUUUUAAUCUCAAAAUAACCAAAUUAUUUCCGUUAGACCGGGAUCUUUUAAUAAAUAACAACCAUCCAUGGAAAAGAAGAUAUAAAAGAGCCGGCUCAAUAAGAAAAGCUUCAGCGUAUUUAUGCGCAUCCCGCGCCAGGAUCGUACUUCUUUCCCAAAAAAAAUAUCAAUGUAAUUAUCACGACUUUGUGGUCAACGUUCACAGGGGAUUAGUUGAAUUUGGACUAACACUUUACUUUUAUUUAUCAAAAAAACUUUACCUUUACUUUUUAACCAGCUAAAGGCGUCCGCAUAUUUCCUUGGACACGUUUUGGAGAAGAAACACAAUUCUAUAUAUUUCCAAAGCCACAGUUCGAAAACGUGAUAAAUUUUUCCAAACGCUACCACGAGAUAAAUUUUAUAAUUGUUGGCCGUCAAUUCAAAUAAAAUUGAUGAUGCUAUUACACAUUUUAGCCUCCUUGUUAUGCCAAAUUAACCAACAAUUUCUCCCACAAAUUUGAUCGAGCUAAGUCCCUCCAUUCUAUAUUUUUUAACAAACAAACUCACUCGUUAGUUUUUGUAUCUAUUUACCCUUUAACUUGCUAACACAACAAAACCUAAUCAACCAUUUUAUUUACAUUGCGGAUGACUGUAAUAUUCAUUUAGAUAAAAGAUAAUAAAUACAACAAAAGAAUAUUUGUAUUCAUCUAUGAGUUAUAUUUUUAUUUAAGUUGAUAUUUCUAUCAUCCAUCGUGUAAUCAAAAUGAAUAAUUAGAGAUGUCAGGCUGUCAGCCAGAUUAACUAUGGAUGGAUGGAAAAACUAACCGAUGAUCUUGUUUGUUAAGAGGUGCAAAAUAGACGACGAGUUUAACAGUAAGAAGGGUUGUUUGUAAACUUUACAAAAUAAAAGCGCCAAAAUGAUUAUUAACCCUAAAGAGAAGGGGCGAUUAUACAACAUUCCCUUGGAUGAAAACCUAGCUAUGUGGGUGCCAAAUAUUUCAAAGGGUAUUGAUGUUUUUGUACUGAUUAUGUAACAAAGUCAAAGUCAUCAAUUAGCCAGGACGAUGGUGACAAUUAUUUUUAUCAAGUUGUUAGGAGAGGAAUCGAAAAUUUAUAUUGGUAGUUAUAUUAAUUAUGUAUGAAAAAGUUUUAGAUAUUGAUCAUGUCCAUAUUAUAUGCGUGUGAUUUUGUAAAAUCUGGUUCGAUUAGUUGUGGUCCAAACCACAAGUUAAAUCUUUCAAAUUAUUUAUUAACAUGCUCCCUUCAACAUAAAUUAUAAGAAAAGUUGAGGUUUGCAUAGUUUCAAGACUUUGAUAAGUUAUGUGCAUAGAUGAGAGCUAUUAGGAUUCGAAACGGAGACCUAUUAAUCUUUGAAGGCUCUGCUAUUAUUUCAUAAACCGUUGCAUUCUAAUAACUUAAGUUGAAAGAAAAGGAAUAUUCAUAUUGAUAUUUGUAUUAUUCAUUAGUGUCAUAGAUUGAUGAACAAAAAUCCUCUUUUUGGAACGAGCGGGGCAGUGGCCGGAGAGAGAAGUGACUAGUAGGGGUGGUCCACCCUCGGUUAUUUGUGUUUAAUUCUUUACAAAUAGUUAUAUUUUUUUUAUAUUUUUAAUUUUGAUUUAGUAAUAGUAUUUUGAAAAUAUUUACAUUGGCCUAAAUCCGUCCUUUUGAUGGACUAUUAUUAUCUUCCAUGUCUUUAGAUAUAACCUGUUUGGUGGUAAAUUUUUAUUAAAGUUAAUUAAAUUUAAUUUAUCAUAUCGAUCAUAUACUAAAUUUAAACUUCGAUACGAACGUUGGUCAAAUAUCUUUAACAGGAAGGUUGUAACAUUUAUAACUAGUCACAAGACUUGAAAAACACAGACCUACUGAUCAUAAACAAAAUAUUGAGUACUGAUUUAGAAUAAAAAAAGAGAAACACGAAGGAUAAAGUACUGGGUAGGAAUAGGAUAACCCGAAACAUGAACCAAAGAAUGAAAUUCUUUUCCCUCCAGCGGCUUACACUCAAAAGAAGAAGAAAAGUGAUGAAUUUGCUAGUGCUGUGAAAUUGCUGUAAUGUUCCACUUGUCGGAUACCCUUUUUCACAAUUUUAAUAUUUAAUCCCACAAUUAUUAUGUAUAUAAAUAUUUCCCCCUAAUUAAAUAUUCUUUUAUCAAUGUUUUAAUAAGAAUAUAAAUAGGUGGGUCUUCAAAAUCUAUCUCAUAUAUGUGCACUCCUCACCAAACCCAUCUCUAAUCAUUACAUUUUUUAGGAGAUUUUGAUGUUGAAUUUAUGGUAUCGUUUUAAUUGUAAAAAAAAUGGAUGAAAUUUUAAGUAAUUUUUGAUUGAAUAACAAAAUUAGAUUUUAUUAAAAAAUUAAUUUUUCCAUUACUAUAUAUAAAUUCAAUCCAACUUAAUUUACACGUGUCAAACUAAACUUUAAAUUGGUAAUCCAAAUAAAAUAUUAAUCUAUGUAACCUCGCAACCAUGAUCCAUAGGCUAACACGUCCUCGCUAGGUAAUGUCGAGUGGUCUUUAAUAUACUUAAUUCUAUUUAAGUGUGAAAGUUCGUUAAUUUAUAAAGCAUAUGGCGAACUCGUUUACACAUUUUUUUUACCAUUUUCAUUUUCUACCCCAAAUCUCUCAUUCUAUUUGGAAUUCAUCCAUACAUUCUUUUUUUACUGGAACUUAACGUAUCGAUGGUGCCGUUCUGAGCUUGUUGAUAUAAGCGGUGCAAUUGGCUUUGUGGAUGUGCAAGUUUUGUCGAAAAUGUAAUACAUGCGACAGGUUGUUCUUCUUAUCCAAGUAUCUAACUACGAUUCAUUCACUAUUAAACACAGCGUGUAUCUUAUAUAUGUUUACGAUAACAUUUUUGCAGAUAGAUAUAGAAAGGCGAUGUUGAGUUCAUCUUCACUCGAAUCCGUUCGGUUCGGUCUUUCUGUCUUUGAUGUGGCAUCAUUGUACAUGAGAUUCCCGGUUCGAGAUGCCCAUUUUGAAACAAAAAUCGACUAUUAUACAUAUCUCCCAACGAUGAGAAUUGCUUUUACUCACGCUUCUGCCCAUCUUCAUUCACAACACUGCAAAAAUCAUUCCCACGUUUGCUUAGACAAAUAGAAAGAAAAGCAAAAGGAGAAUCCCACCACAACCUCUCUAAUAGUUACAUCCAUUCUCAAACCAUAUAGAAUUAACAAAAAGUAGGAUAAAAAACCCAAUAGGUCACUUAAUUUUGGGAUCAGAUUAUUUAUCGCUCUCGAAACUUUCAAAUAUUACAUACUGAUCUCGAAAUUUUAUAAAGUUGAGAUCACCCUGAGUAACCUUUGAAAGUUUCGAAACUAAUACGUAACACGUCCCAAAAUUACGGGACGAAUUGGGUAUUUCACCAAAUUGCCAACAACUUUACUUGGCCACCUCACUAGCUCACUCUAUAUAAAUAGCACCUCAAAUAUGUUUGUAUCUUAACACUUGAAACACCUUUAAACUCUUCCCACUACAUUUCCAAACUCCCAUCUUUCAUCACCCGCCGACAGGGGGCGACCGGAACAUAAUCAACGGCGAAAAUGGGCCGGCGGGUUCAUGUGUUGAUGAUGGUAAUGUGUCUUGCCGCCGUCCAAAGUUGCUGGGGCAAGACUAGGCAUUUCAAGUGGGACGUGGAGUACAUGUUCUGGUCGCCGGACGGCCAGGAGCAUACCGUCAUGGGUAUCAACGGCCAGUUUCCGGGGCCGACGAUCAGGGCCAAGGCCGGCGACAUAAUCCACGUGGACCUCACCAACAAGCUACAUACUGAGGGAGUUGUUAUUCACUGGCAUGGUAUCAGACAGGUUGGUAAAUUUUAUAAGUUAAUUAUGUUUACUGAAUUGAUUAAUAAUUUAUUUAUUCAUGUAUUUUUGCAGCAAGGGACUCCAUGGGCUGAUGGAACAGCUGCAAUCUCACAGUGUGCCAUUGCUCCUGGUGAAACUUUCCCUUACAGGUUCACUGUUGACAAGGUAUGACUUUACUUAUUUCUUGAUCCUUUUAAUUUUGAGGUGUAAAAAAGUUGUCUAGACCGGACCCAGUCUAAUCCAUUUCAAGGGCCGACUCAAUCUGAUUCGAUAUCUAAAUUUAAAUUGUUGUUCGUCAAAUUCAAAAAUAAAUGAUCAAUUUGAUUGAUCAAGGAUUCGUAAUUCGAUUGACCCAGUUCGUAACCUAUCAAAUACAUCUGUUUGACAGCUCUACGUUUUUUAUUUAUAAAAAAGUAGAAGCAAAAAGUGUAUACAAUUUUGAAAUUCAUUUUGGUGAUCGAGAUGGUAAACAAUAGAUGAUCUUUUAUUCAACCUCUCCUUAGAGCAAACUAUUUCAUAUAGGGUCACUGAUCAGACUAUUCGUGAUAAGUGAAAAGAUUAUGUUAGGUUGUGAACACACAUUUUGUUCAUUACUAAUGAUAAAUCUUGUAAUGUGUUUUAGGCGGGUACAUAUUUCUACCAUGGGCAUUACGGGAUGCAAAGAUCAGCGGGGCUAUACGGUUCACUCAUAGUUGAAGCAGGAGACAAAGUUGGAGAGAAAGAUCCAUUCCACUAUGACAGCGAGUUCAACCUCCUGCUCAGCGACUGGUGGCACAAAAGUGUCCACGAACAAGAAGUUGGCCUCUCUUCCCUCCCCUUCCGCUGGAUCAACGAACCCAACGUACGGUAACAGUACUAUCGACAAUUACCCAUUUCGUAUCGAACCAACAACUCAACUAGACAAAGCCUUACACAUGGUUCUAUAUAUGGCCAACGGCUAUGUCCCCUAUGGGGCAGAUUAAAGACACUAGUCCAACCCAUUCUCUCUAAUGGAUUCAAAUAUCAAAAGUAAGUAAUUAAUUAAAUACUAAUGUAAAGUACCGACCCAUGUGGAAAUGUUUGGUUUCUUUCAAAGAUUACUAUGUUACACUAAUCAGGUAGUUGGCAGAAUCUUAUCUUCGAUGUCUUUUGAUUUUACAGAGACAUAAAUCCAAAACAGUCCACACCAGAACCAGCAAUUUCUAUUAAUAUAUUGAUUCAACUUUAGUUAAAAAUUCCUUCAGAUUUUCCCAUUCUCCAAUCAAAGGACUGACAACAUCUUGUUUCUAAAAAUGACUGUUUGGUUUUUUUUUGCAGACUUUGUUAAUUAACGGGAGAGGCCAGUACAACUGUUCACUGGCAGCAAAGUAUAACAAGACAUCAGCAUCAUUACCACAGUGUAAGCUAAGAGGGACUGAGCAAUGGGCACCAAAUGUGCUCAAAGUGCUACCAAACAAGACUUACAGGCUCAGAAUUGCCAGCACCACUGCCUUGGCUUCUCUCAACUUAGCCAUUGGAGUAAGUCUCCUACCAAUAUUGCUUUUGCGUGCGUGCGUACGUAGUUCUGCUAGCUUUUGCAUACCUAUACUCUUUUAGUGAUGAUAGCUAAGGAUAAUUUUCGAGUUAGAAUUAGAGGUAGAGUUGUAAAACAUGCGAGUAGAGUCACUGGUGAAAUGGUUGUGGGUAUAUAUCAAUUAGGUUGUGGGUUUUUGAGUUAUUUGGAUUGAGCGAGUCAUGGAUUGUUGAUUUUUAAUCGGUUUGAAUGGGGCUAAAACUGAGUUGAAUCAAACAUUCGUUUCCUCACAAAGACACUAAAAUUCAAAAUUCAAACUAUUGUAAUAUCAAACCUUUGAGUCCCAUGUUUGAUUUUGUUGUUUGGUUUUGGGUUGUGGGAAACAAGUUACAAAUCAGAUUGAAUCACAUAUUAAUUAGAUUAUUAUUGGGUUUUUGAGUUAUUUGGAUUGGACGAGUGACAAAUUGUUGAUUUUUAAUUAAUCUGAAUCGAAUUUAGAAUUAAAUUACGUUGAAUAAGAUAUUUUUCUCACAAUUAUAUAUAAAACACUAAAAUUCGAAAUUCAAACUACUAUAAUAUCAGAAUAUUUGAGUUCCAUCUUAAUUUUCUUAGAUUCUUGGGUUGAGGUCAAACUUUUAACCAUUGUAGGGUUCUACUUUUUGAUACACUUUUUUCUCUAAAUUUGACCAAUCAUAGUUAUAGUUAUAGUUGAUAAUAACUUUUUAUUUUUUAAAAGUUGGGAAGGUUGGCAAGUGAUUUUGAAAUUUCUGCAAAUAUAAAAAAGGAAGGAGGUAGAAAGCAUGGAAAAUUCUUCCACUAAAGGUGGUAGAAAAGGAGAAAACGUGUUGGCUUCAUGAUCAUCAUUCAUUCAUCUUUUUCUUUCAACAAAAAUCCCAAUUGUUUUACAAAGGUUUUCAAAAUCUCAAAAACCUAACCAAGAAAAUUGUGUUGUGAUCAUUAAUGACGGAAACCUUAUCAAUUAGUUACUAAACAAACCCAUAAUUCGAUUGACUUUGUAAUAAAUUAUGGUAUGUCGUAACCAGAUCAAUCCGUAUGUUCACCGAUUUAGUAUAGACAGUAUAGUAGUCUAAAGGGGCAAUGCAUGAUGAACGUUUUUUGAAACCUUUCUUUCCUUCUCUUGUGUGAAGAAUGCAUGAUGAUGUAUUAUGUUGCCAAUUGCUAUGGCGGAUAUAGUGAGCCUCCUCUAGUGUAGAUUCAGUCCAUUUUCGGAUUUUGAAAUUUAAUAUACUAAAUUAGUUGGCAUUUUUUUCUAUAUAUGACUGAAUGUAUUUAAACUUUUAUACAAUGCACUGAACAAUUAUAAAUCCGCUGAUGUACCUACACAACUUGGUUGGAAUCCAUAUAAGGAACCAAGUUAUCCCCAUUGAUGCUCACUCUAUUUCCAUGCAAAUGGAAAAGACAAGUAUCUAUUAUUAUGUGCCACACUCCUCUCAACCAUGUGAUCCCCACACGGUAAUCUUACUACUUGCCUUCAAUUAUUUAGUUAAAAGCAUAGUUAGAAGAAUGGAAUCUCAUUCCUUAUACACCUCCAAAUGAGUGAAGAGACACAUUUACAUCAUAUUCAUCCCAAUUGAAUUGAUUGGGUAAAGGCAUGUGUCCAACCAUCAUUGGUUUGGACUCUAUGUAACGACCAACCUACAACUUUGAGAUUAUUUACUCUCGUUGAGAUUUCUAAUUCAUUCAUCAGAGAUAUCUAUUGUGUUCCUAAAAUAAAAUAUGAUGAAGUACGUACGUUGUUUAUGUUAGCCAACUUUCAUCUACACUAAUAUAUUAUUCUCCCUCUUCUAAGAUCUUAUUUUGUCGUCAAAUAAUGUAAUACUAAAUUCAAUAGAAUAACAUGUAACCCGUAUUCCUUUUGAAUUACUUUCAAAAACUCUUCUUUUCAUUUCAUGCAUUUGAUCUUGUAUUUCAUACCACGUCUCAGUUUUACAAAAAUUAUCGAUGUGAUUUCACCGACUUAAAAGUGUGGUAUUUAAAUUUAAUAUUCUCUUGGUUUUUCAAAUAUUCAAUCAAUUACAAAUUCAGUUUUACAAAUCAAACCACUAACCGUACAUAUUUGUAGUUACCAGUAAUCAAUUCGUAGUCAUCUUUAUCAACUUUUGAAUCAUGCUUAGUGUGUUACUAAUGUAACUUUGUUCAAAAAACAGGGCCACAAGAUGGUGGUGGUGGAAGCCGACGGGAACCACGUCCAACCAUUUUCGACGGACGAUAUCGACAUCUACUCCGGCGAGAGUUACUCGGUCCUCUUCACAACGAACCAAAACCCGUCAAACAACUACUGGAUCUCCGUUGGAGUCCGCGGCCGCCGCCCUCAAACCCCACAAGCAUUAGUCCUCCUCAACUACCUCCCAAACUCCGCCUCCAAAUUCCCAACCUCACCUCCUCCGAUCACUCCCCGGUGGGACGAUUACGCCCACUCCAAAUCCUUCACAACCAAAAUCCUCGCCCUAAUGGGCUCCCCAAAGCCCACUCCCAAAGCUCACCGCCGGAUCCAACUCCUCAAUACCCAAAACCGGCUCAACGGGUUCACUAAAUGGGCCAUCAAUAAUGUCUCGUUGAUUCUUCCGUCAACGCCGUACAUCGGGUCCAUGAAACACAAUCUCAAAUCGGCGUUCGACCAGACCCCACCGCCGGAUAACUUCAAUCAAAACUACGACGUUUCGUCCCCACCGGUGAACGCCAACACCACGACGGGGAACGGCGUGUACGUGAUCGACUUUGGGACGACGGUGGAUGUAAUCUUGCAGAACGCGAAUGCUCUGUCGGCGAAUGUGAGCGAGAUCCAUCCUUGGCAUUUGCACGGGCAUGAUUUCUGGGUUUUGGGUUACGGAGAUGGGAAAUUUGGCGACGGAAAGGGGAAAAAGUUGAAUUUGAAGAAUCCGCCGUUGAGGAACACGGCGGUGAUUUUUCCUUACGGGUGGACGGCGUUGAGGUUUGUGGCGGAUAAUCCUGGGGUUUGGGCUUUCCAUUGUCAUAUUGAGCCGCAUUUGCAUAUGGGGAUGGGGGUUGUUUUUGCAGAGGGUGUUGAUCGGAUUGGGGAUGUGCCUAAGGAAGCGCUUGCCUGUGGAUUGACUGCUACUAGGUUAUAAUCGCGGCGGCGACGGCGGCGGAAAUUGAUGUGUCGUCGGAGGGUUUGUUUUUUUGUGUAGCUUUUAUGAUUAUUUAUUAUCAUCGUAUUGUAAAAGUGGGUUGAUUCGGAAAGGUGAGUGCGAGGGGAAGGCUGGUGUGUGAGUGGGGUGUGAAAGUGGUUCGAUUUUUCCUUCAAACCGGAAUCAUGGUUUGGCUUUCAAUGAAACGUUUUUAUUAAUAAUGUGUUACUUCGUUUAUUUGCUUGAUUUGAUUGAGGUUUGAUGUUCGAUUUAGUUUGAUAUUAACGAAAUAUGUUGGAAGGAGUUGGAAGGCAUUAUAUCAAUGGUGUAUUAUACGUAUUCAUAAGAAUUUUAUAAUUGAACCAUACCUUAACUUUGUUAUCUCAAUGAGUAGCCAAAAUUCAGGUAACAAAUAUAACAUUAAGUCUAAAAAACAAUAAGUGUUUUGCAAAACAAGUGACCAUUAACACCGUCAACCAUAUAAUCUUUAAAGAUGUAAAUAAAAAAUGUACAUAUCUAAAUUCCUGCUUUCCUGCUUUUUAAAUGUUCGCUUGAAAAAAGUGAUCCGUUAAAAGUCUACUACCAACGUUUCUCGAUAUUUGGCCAUUGAGUUCCUGAUUGGUAUCAACGUUACCAUUAUGUUCUUGUGUUUAAUUGGGAGAUGGAUGGUUCCGCCACAAAGACUUUUUAUGGUUAAAUUUUGACAUCAUACAAAAUAUAAUUUACCUUCAAAAUCAUCUCAUUCUUUCACUUCCAAUAAUCCAGUAGCAAAAAACAAUCAAUGUUCCUGAUCUUGAUUAAAUUUCACCUUAAAUUUCACGAACUAGUUUUGAACCUCUUUUGAAAAGAAAAGAGGAGGAUAGAGCAUACUAAACUUCCACAGUUUUCUCUUCGAAACGAACACAUUUUUCAUUUUCAAAUUACAACACAGGUGCCAUUAAUACUUAUUUUUAUCAUUUACAUCGACUGAAAUGUACCACUCAAUUACCCAUUAGUAUUGGACGAAAAAUAUUGACAGAAUUAAACGAACUCAUACUUUUCAAAUGUCCUCAUACAUUUAUCACUGGAGUGACGUUUUUGAAAGUUCUACUGCCGGGACAUUCAGGCCAAACGUUUACUACACCAAACGUCAAAUUUUCAUAGUGUAGAGCCUUGUUUGUUAAGUGUGCAUAGUUCAUGGGCUGAGAAGUUUAUCAACCCAAUUAGCGAAAAUAAGCCCGGUGGCCGGUCGGGAGUCUCAUUUACUUACCGUAGGGCAAGCCUUUAGACUGCGCGGAUGGCGGCGGUGCUGGUAACCUGACACGAUAACUGGUAAGCAUUCAGUCUUGCGGCAGUUUGCUUGUCUCAGGCGAAGCAGAUCUCCUUGCAUCAGGUGAUUGGCAGCUUUCUACUCUAUAGUAAAAACUUCCUUAACGCUGGUAGCUUCUUUACUUUUUAAUUAUGGAUGAAAGCAUUCAACUUUGAUGUGGAAAAUCUAUUAGCCUUCUGAAUUUCAAUUGUGUGUAGUCAGAAUUUGCAAAAACAUGUACAUUAUCUCAUUGCUGGCAAUUGGGGUUUUUGCUGGUAGACUGAUUCUAGUUCUUGGUGGAGGGUUUUCAACUGCAGGAUUGUUAGCAUACAUUGUAAUGGAGAAGAGGGAGGGUAAACAAGAGGAGGUGGAGGAAGAGCAGGUGGUGAAUCCAUGGGAAGUUUCGGCCAAAGAUGGAGGGAAGAUCGAUUACGAUAAGCUUAUCGACAAAUUCGGAUGCCAAAGGCUUGAACUUCCAAUAGUUGACCGUGUCCAACGACUGACUGGUAGAGCGCCUCAUGUCUUCCUCCGCCGUGGUGUUUUCUUUGCCCACAGGGAUUUUGAUGAGAUACUGAAUGCAUAUGAGAAAGGGAAAAAGUUCUACCUUUAUACUGGUAGAGGUCCAUCCUCUGAAGCUUUGCAUCUCGGUCAUCUUGUGCCCUUCAUGUUUACCAAGUGAGCUCUCAUCUUGAUUGUUGGCAUUAGUUUUGAAUACUUGUUUGCUAAGAGCAAAAUGAUUCUGGCUGGUCAGCUGGAUUCCAUUUGAUCUAUUAUCCUCAUACUUGCAGAUAUUUGCAAGAUGCCUUCAAGGUGCCACUUGUGAUACAACUUACUGAUGAUGAGAAGUGCAUGUGGAAGAAUCUUACAGUGGAGGAGAGCCAGAGACUUGCCCGUGAAAAUGCGAAAGACAUUAUUGCUUGCGGUUUCGAUGUCACCAGGACAUUCAUCUUUUCAGAUUUUGAUUACGUUGGCGGGUAAGUAACAGGAAUUGACAAUGAGAUUUGGAUAAAAUAACCGUAUAGGUUAGUUAGCACUCCAAUCAAACGUACCUAGCUGUGUUUAGGUUCAUGAACUUCACAUUUUAACUGUACCAAAAUGUUGUUUAGUCUUUGCUCAAGGGUUACUCAAAGAAAUGCAAAUUGCAGUAAGAAGCAACUCUUCUGGAUCACUUGGAUGAUAGAUUUUUUGUGUGCUCUUGUGUUGCUUUGUUGUAGUUGUGAUCUUUUGCAUAUAUUACUGUAUUUGACAUGCAUUGAAUCUUUCCAGUGCAUUUUACAAGAACAUGGUGAGGAUUGGGAAGUGUGUCACAUACAAUAAGGUUAAGUUUGCUGAGCUAUUUCUAUUUUUUGUUUUGCAUUUCUAGUGUUGUUUUUCAUUUGCAGGUCAUUCAAAAAUUGUCAAUGGUAUACAGGUCGUGGGCAUAUUCGGUUUCAGCGGUGAAGAUCACAUCGGAAAAGUUAGUUUUCCACCAGUCCAGGUGAGUUAUUUAUCACUGUGUACCAACAUCUUGGCAUGCAUUGCAAUUGGGAUCCAAUUUCUCAGACACAUGUGCUCUAGUUGCGUCCUUUCUUUCUAUUAUUUAGUAGCUGGUGGAUUUUUCCAAGUUUAGAUGUUAGUUGGCGUAGGACUAAAUGCUUUCUUGCGAUCAGAAGCAACAUUAUGAGACGUGCUUACUGUAGUUACAUAACAAAGGUUUGGAAACUAGAAAGGGAAUCCAGGUUUUUCCAUUGGCAGUGUGCUUCCUGGAGAUGUGGAUUAUUAGAGUUCUUGCAGCCAGAAUCUUGCCUAGUGGUUGUGCAGCACAAACAAUUGCACAGUCGUAGAACCUUUUUUCACAACUUACCUAAGCAUCAUAUUAAUGGAACUCUACAGAACUUCCACUUACUCUUAUUCGUUGCAUAAUAGUUAAAGUAGAGGGAGGAAGAGAUUUAACGUACUUCACUUUUCUGUAGUGCAGGCAGCACCAUCUUUUCCUAGUUCAUUUCCACACUUGUUCUCCGGAAAAGACGACCUCCGUUGCUUGAUUCCUUGUGCAAUUGAUCAGGUCGGACCCUCCUAAAUGUACAUGUUUGAAUUGAAUUUUCGUCUUUGAAAAUGAAUACUGUUAGUGAUUUUAAAUGUUCACCCAUCUUUUAUACCUGCCUGUUUGCAGGAUCCAUACUUCAGAAUGACACGAGAUGUUGCACCCAGGCUAGGAUAUCAUAAACCUUCACUGAUUGAGUCAUUGUUCUUCCCGGCCCUUCAGGUAUCUGGCUAUAUUCUCUCGUAGAAUUUCUCAUAUUCUGGUCAGAAAAGAAACCUGCACCAGCUUUCUAUUCAAUUGAUUGGUGAAGAGUUAGACUGGUCCGACCUGGGAUGGUGGUUAUCUUACCACUAUGUCUUAUCACACUUAUGUAUGUAAUAUGCAUAUUACUGUUUCAAUAUGACUGCUGAUUUCAAAUUUUGAUGCUAUUGAACUUUCUAGUACAAUUACCAUGAAGUAUUUGUUGUGACUUCAAUCUGUUCAUUUCAUUUUAGUGAAAUGGCCCAAAUAGAAAGCCACCAGACAUACAAAUAUGAUUAUACUUCAGCCAGUUACUCUCUGAUUGCUACUAACUAAUCCACGCUGUGUAUUAUUAAUUUUUGUAGGGAGAAACUGGAAAAAUGUCUGCCAGUGAUCCGAAUUCUGCUAUAUAUGUGACUGAUUCUGCCAAGGUCAUUAAGAACAAGGUAUGAUCUUGUAUUGUGCUUAUGAUUCCUUCCUUUUACGUAUGUUAUUCAACCUGUCAUGGCAUAUAAGCUAAUUGUCAAUGUACUGUCUCGAUGGUAACAGAUAAAUAAGUAUGCGUUCUCUGGGGGACAAGAUUCCGUAGAGAAGCACAGAGAACUUGGGGCCAAUCUCGAGGUAGAUUACUCCAAAACCCAAAUGGGAAAAUCAAACUAAGUUUGCUCAAUAACAAUCUUACUUAAUACUUCUUCCUUGCUUAUUAAUUUUCAGGUAGAUAUACCAGUGAAGUACCUAAGCUUCUUCCUGGAGGACGAUGCUGAGCUCGAGCACAUUAAGACGGUUAGUCCACUAAACCUUUCGCGUCAAUUUUAGCAAUUUCACCCUUUCUCUUACUGAAAGCCUUUGUUUCAGGAAUAUGGCGCUGGGCGAAUGUUGACCGGGGAGGUAAAGAAACGUCUUGCUGAUGUUUUGACAGAACUGGUAGAUCGACAUCGUGCAGCUCGAGCUGCUGUGACAGAAGAAGUAAGCAAGCUUCUAAAUUGUUUUCAAAUUCUGUUGCUUUGCUGCAAAAAGGAUGUUGGUUAAUCCCUUGUUUCGGUUUUGGACAUGAAAUUCUGUAAUUGCAGAUGGUGGAUGCUUUCAUGGCAGUGAGACCACUUCCUAAUAUGUUUGACUGAAAAGCUAGGAAGGUAAACUCUCUGAUAUGGAGUCAAACACAGGAAAGGCUGUUUAGUUUGUAAGUUAAUGUAGCAACUCUUCAUUAGAACACCAAAGUUUGAUUCUUUUGAACUCCUUUGAAAGAUUGUUGAGAUUCAAUGCAUGAGACAGUGUAUUUGUGGAAGCUUCGUACUUUGAUCAUUCUCAAGUGAGAGUUGGUUGGUUUGGAUAAGGCAUUGUGUUAAAUUCAACCAAUUCGUAGUUUAGGUUUGGUUUGGCCUGUGGAUAGUUUGGAAAUUUGUAGGUGGCAACAAGAAAGUUCGUUCUUCAAACCCUUCGGCCAGGAACAUGUUCAAAACUUCAUCAACUUUUCACCUGCCAAACUAAGGUAUAAAAAUGUUGUUAGCAAUAAUCAUAACUCGUAUAAACUAUCCCAACCGAAAAAGGCGAUAAUAAUAAGUGAUGUAACGAGUCAUUUCACGGUAUGAUAAACAGCAAACUCUAGAGGUAUGCACUAUCUUAAGUACAAGUAAAGAUCGUUGGUGUUGCAUCUAUCUAUCGACUGAUCCGACUAGAAUGCUUUUGUACCAUAUUUUUACAGUGAUUUGUGUGUAUUUAUAUAUAUAUAUAUGUAGGGUACAUUCUUGAAACAUUUGGAUAGUGCCAACUGUUUUUGUUCUGUCUUUUGACAAGGAAAUAUGAAAUUCCUAGUUAAAGAGAUGGAGACAAAGUGGUUUUGUCGUUUGCAGCUUUACUCAGCUUCACUCGUUAUCCAAUCACUCUUUUCCAUUUUUCUAGUUAUGUCGAAUAAUAAUAAUCUAUUAUCCAUUCGGAUAUUUUUUUCUAUGUGAUCAUAAUAUCAUAAUUUCAUUUUGCUAUAUAAGUUUACACCAACAAUGAAACUACCCGCAAUGCCCUCUUGAUGUAUCGGUUAACCAAAAGUUUUGGUUUACUAUAUCACUCGAUCGAAAUAUUUGGUUUACCAUUUCACUCGUUUUGACUCAAUUCUUUAUGGCUUCUAAUUCAAUGGAACUAUGAUCACCAACGUAACCCAUUUGUGUUAAAUUACUUCAAUAAGAGAUUGAUUAGUUUAGCUAAAAUGUAUCGCAGAGAAUAAGUUUGAAUCUACUGAUUUGAAUUAUAUUAUUCUGUUACAAAACAUUAAUUACUAGGUUAUUUACACUAAACGCUCCUUAUAUAUGUUUAAAGGACUUCAUUAGUACUUUCUUAUAUAUCUUCCCUCUCAUCUUUCCAUUUCUUCUUAGAAUUUUUUUUUAUAAAAUUGACUAAAAAUACAUCUUAAAAGGGUGACAUACAAACGAAAUAUUGAAAACUUACUCAGUUUUCUAGUCGAAAAUAUUAUUACUCCGCCCGAACUUUUUGGGAGAAACACUAUCUACAAUAGUGGAAUAAAUAGACUCAUAUGUAGGUAUGCAUACGAAUUUGGAACACACGUCUAGUUUUGGUGGGUUUGUUUAACUUGUUAAGACGUCAUUUCUACUCAAAAUAUCUCCCAAUUUUCAAAUCCAUUUCCAAAAUUUCUUGCAAAAUAUAACAUAUAUUGUGGUCUGUAAUGAAAAUGUCAGGUUUGAUGUUAGGCAAUUUUCGGUUGCCACAUGCCCACAUUUGUGGUGGUUCAUGCCAUGUGUUCUAACUUCCAAGGCUACUAGUCUACCUCGUAAAGUUGUCAACAAGUGUUAUAACUAAAUAUUUAAAUGUCAUGAGUUUAAAUUCUAACUUCGGCUAUUAUUCUUAUUUUUAUUUUGAGUUUGAUCAUAUAUGACCGCUUGACCGGCCUAUUGUAGUGACAGUUAGUUGUGUAACUUUGGUCCACUACUGUGUUGAGUUAUUUUACAUCGUAAAGUUGAAGAAGAUGAGUGCACUAUAUAAUUAAGUGUGAGGAAAAUUUUACUGUCUUGAGUUAGUUCUUACAGUAAGAAAGGUUUAAUUUUGUAAUAAUUGUGAAGUGACGUGAAGGGUGAUGUGACAUUCUUUUAAAAAUUGUUAGGGAUGUAGAUGUGCUUUCGAAAUUAAAAAGCGUUUCUGAUUUAGCAAGUUUGCUAACUUAGCAAGUCAAUUAGCAAUGCCACAUAGACAAAUUGUUACAAUUUUUAAAAAAUACAUUUAUGAAUAGAAAAUAAAUUGAAUAUAAAUAAUAUCUAGGCCUCGUUUGGUAUGUGAUAUCUCUUAUUCGAGAUAUCACGAUUUUGGGUGAGAUUGAUAUUAAAUCUAAAUAGUAUGAAUAUUUUUGUUUGGUGUAGGAUAUUGAGUGGUAGCUUUUAGGAAUAAUUAAAUGUGGUGUGAGUCUUAAUUUGUAAUAAUGAGGGCUGAGAAAAUUACGAUUAUAGCCCUCAGUUGCAUGUAGCUAUAAAAUUGUCUUGGGGGCAAUUAUCGAAAAGAUAUUGGAGGUGAUAUUGAAUAUCACCCCUAGGUGAAUAUUGAAUAUUACAAUAUUGCGAUAUUCAAUAUCAUCGAAUAGCUAGCUAUUCAUACUCCGAAACACGAAGAUAGCUAGCUGUUGGGUGAUAAUAUCAGCUAUACCAAACAUGCCCCUAAUGAUUUUAAUUGGUUCAUUUUUAUUGUGUUUGUUUGUGAAAAUGAUUAUUAGAAAUUAUUACUCAAUUGCUGGAAUAGAGGAAAUUAAGAAUUACGAAACUAAAGUUGAUGAUACGGCGAUAAAAUUAUAAUUAAAAAUUGUUAAUCAAUUUCUAAGAUGGAGAUCGAUCUUGAGCAACUGGGUCCACAAGUUAAAAUUGAUAUUGGAACGAAUUAAAAUGAUCCUAUAUGUAACAUUGCAACGUUCAAAUAACUUGACGUCGCGAUCCGUCAAAUAAAAUGACGCAAAUACAGCUGCCGCUACAUCGAGUGCUGACACUACUUGUGCGCAUCGCUGACAUAAUAAUGCGUACGAGCCGCGCAAGAGACGUCCAAUAAAGAUAACGCGAUUCAAAGAUUCGACCAAAAUCUCUACAGAAUUGAUUUUAAUAUCAUAAUGAGGUGUUUUACCAAAGUUACCAUUUUGAGUUACCAGAGUUAUAAACUAACUGCCUACAAAAAGGAGGUGUGGCUCUUUCAAUCCACCAAACUCCAUUAAUUCAAUUGGAGGAUAACUCACAACUCACAAAUCACAAUACCUUUCUUUUUCCACUAUGCUAGGUUUGGACCACCAAGUUCUCUACCUGAUUAGUAAUUACCUCUCUUUAAUCUUUAUCCAUUGAUUAUCCACAGUUUUCAUUUCAAUAUUUGUAGCAUCAUUAUGGUACUACCCAAUUAACCUAGUACGUGUUAUGGAUUCACAAUCGAAGGACGCAACGAUGUUGUUCCGCUAAAUGCAUACGACAUUGUGGAAUCCAUUCAUGUUCGAUUCAUGCAAAAAAAAAGAAUAAAAAGAUUUUUUGAACUUUUUAUUUUUUCAAUGAAGAUAAAGAGAACAUAUGAUUUUAUACUAGCCAUGUCAUUUUUUAUUAAAAAAAAAAANNNNNNNNNNNNNNNNNNNNNNNNNNNNNNNACAAAUUACUCUUUUACCCGUUAGAUUGGUUCGUAAAGAUUAUUCAAUAAAGAAACAUGAUAACCCUAGUUACAAUGAAUAUUAGUUGAUAUAUUUUUUUGAUGAAUAUUAGUUGAUAUAUUAUCUAUAAAGAUGUUGAGUUGAGAUCAGUGAAAGAAAAUUAUUAUUGUUACGUCUAACAAAGGGAUGAAUUGCAGUUAGGAGAGUUAGGAGAAAUUGUGGAAGAAAAGUUAAGUUAAUUUAAAGGAUAUAUAUUAUAUAAAAAUGUACAAUUUCUCUUAAAUAGCUUGAAAAACNNNNNNNNNNNNNNNNNNNNNNNNNNNNNNNNNNNNNNNNNNNNNNNNNNNNNNNNNNNNNNNNNNNNNNNNNNNNNNNNNNNNNNNNNNNNUAACAGUUUCAUAACGCAUUAUAGUGUCUCUCGUCUUCAAUUUUCUAGUUUUCCGUUUCAUAUUGAUAUGAAACUAUACAUCCCUCGUUUGCGUUACUAAUUUCACCUAUUACAUUCUUACAUUUGACAAAAUUGAUAAUACAUACACAGAAUACUCGUAACUAAUGACACAAGUAAUUAUCUAAAAAUAUUUUAUUAUAAAUACCCAUAACAUUAUUAAUUUAGUGCAUACACGUGUUCGUCUCUGAUAUUUUCAGUUGGAGUUUGUACAAACUCAAAAAGAGAGCCAUUGAACUUGUUCCUACUCGUUGCAUGGUCAGUAUAUGUCCACUUCUGCUUCCUAAGGUGCUCUUUUUGAGGAAAUACUAUGGAGCCAUAUAUACAUUCUUCGUUGACAUUGCUAAUUUCACGAAUUACAUUUUUACAUUUUAAAAGAUACCAAUUGCGUUCUUACAUUUGUCACAACUAACAAUGCAAACACAGAAUACUUAUAACUAAUAAAAUCAAUAAUUAUGUUGAUGACAUUCGAUUUGUACAUAUAUUUUAUCCUAAAUACUCAAAAUACGAUUAAUUAUGUAAUACACGUGUUCGUUUUUUGUGUCUUCAGUUGAAAUUUGUGCAGAUUGAUAUUGCAAGAUCGUUGUUUAUGAACUUGUUCUUAUUCGUUACAUGAGCAGUAUGUGUCCACUAUUGCUCCUUAAAGUGCUCUUUUUGAGGAAAUAUUGUGGUUCUAGACAUCCAUCUAGCUCUUACAAGUUAUUUGAGAUUCAAGUGAAAGGAUAAUAAUGAUAAAUUAGUGUGUUAUAAAACUAACGAUGACAUAACAAUUUCAUAAUACGAACGUAACGGUCUCAUAACACCAUAUAAUCUCUCUCACCUAACAAUUCACUAAUUUUCCGUUUCUUAUUAAUAUGAAACUAUACAUUGCUCGUUUACAUCACUAUUUUCGCCAAUUAUAUUCUUACACCGGACAAAACACCAACUACAUUCUUACAUUCAACAAAAGUGAUGAUACACCAAUAAUUAUCAUCACANNNNNNNNNNNNNNNNNNNNNNNNNNNNNNNNNNNNNNNNNNNNNNNNNNNNNNNNNNNNNNNNNNNNNNNNNNNNNNNNNNNNNNNNNNNNNNNNNNNNNNNNNNNNNNNNNNNNNNNNNNNNNNNNNNNNNNNNNNNNNNNNNNNNNNNNNNNNNNNNNNNNNNNNNNNNNNNNNNNNNNNNNNNNNNNNNNNNNNNNNNNNGAAAGUCAUGACUCAUAAAGAAAACAAAAGAAAAA
rnacentral:lncRNA from 1 species